GUGGACUAUUUUUCAUUAGAAUAAGUAAAAAAAAUCAAGAUGUCGCAGCCGGUAUAUUUAAAAAAAAUCGCUGUUAACUACUAUCCGGAAGAUAAAAUAAAAUGACAGCUGGUGCAGGUUGUCCGAAAAUGGCGUCGCCAUAGACAUAGAAUUAUCUAAGGGCGUCGCAAAUAUUGUUUUUUACAAAACGGGUUUUAUCUGCGUAAGACUAUAUCUUAUUAUUCGAAUCGAAAAACAAAUAAUUACCGAAAAAGUUGUUACAUAUGAUUAUAAAUAUAUGUGUUGCUAUCGGUGGACAAGUCAGGGUGAUGCGCGGGAAUUUGGAUUGGCUAUUAUUUAUCUUAUAAAUUUAUUAUAUUUAUUAGGAUAACGGAACGAUAUUCGGUGCAGAAUAAAGUCGUAAAUAAUUGUUGUGUAGUGGGGUGAUUAAAAAUGUCUGGAAAGUUCGAGAUUUUGACAUAAACAAUGGGAAUUGGUCGGCGUACGUCGAUCGUCUCGAAAUGUAUUUUGUUGCUAACAAAAUAGCGGAAGAUUUGAAAUUACCGACAUUAAUAGCUCUUAGCCGUUAGCGGUGAACCGGCUUAUGAGUUAUUGUCUACUUUGGCGAGCCCGAGAAAACCAUCAACCCUGAAAUAUAAAGAAGCGGCGGAACUACUGCAAGCACGUCUACAGCGGAAACCAUCAAUUCUCGCGGAGAGAUAUAGGUUCCGACAAAGACGCCAAUCAGCGGGAGAAACAAUAGCUGAUUACAUAGCAGAUUUGAAAAAGAUGUCACGUUAUUGUUAAUUCAAGAUCAAUCUGAUCAAUUUAGAAGAAAAUUUGAGGGACCAGUUUGUGUGCGGUUUACAUACCUAGCGAAUAUAUUCGUCAGAGGUUAUUCGCGGAAGAUAAAAUAGAUUAUCAAAAAGCGCUAGUAUGCCAACACUAGCACUAUAGAUAAGCCUGGAGGCAGCCGAGCGGGACGCCGCGGCCGGGGCCGUAUAGGGAACGCAGGAACAAGCUACCAGCCGGGAACUAAGCGAGAGAAUAUACAAGUUGGAACUCAACAAAUGCUCAGCCUGCGAGGUCAACGGUCAUGGGGCACAUAACUGUAGGUACAAGGAGUUCGAAUGUAGUUAUUGUGGACAACCUGGCUAUUUACGAAGAGUUUGUAGGAAAAAAGAUUUUGAUCGUCGCAUAAAAUCUACGAAUAAACCGCGGGAAUAAUGGCUUGCGAGUAAGGUCACGUAGAGUACGCGUGAUCGGGUCGAGCGCCUACGAAGCGGGCGCAUGGCGGAGCGGCAACAUGGCGUGCGGUGGGCGCAGCAGCGCUCGCACCGCGCACAGCAACUACGUCGCCGACGCGGCGUACUGGCUGAGCGAGCCGAGAACUCUAGCUCGGAGCAAGAGGUCGAGAGUACAAACGAGGAACCGAUGUAUCAAAUGUCACUAACCAACUAUAAACCGACAUGACAACCUAUUCGAUGGCACGUUGGGCAAAUAUACCGGUGAAGUCAAGUUAUGCGUGCGGGAUGGGACCGAGCCAGUCUUUUGUCGAGCGCGCCCCGUGCCUUAUGCACUGCUGGCGCGGGUCGAUGCUGAGUUAGACGCGAUGCUGCGCGCCGGCGUCAUCGAGCGAGUUGAACGAUCCGACUGGGCUACACCGCUAGUUAUAGCGAUGAAGGGAGACGGUGGAAUACGCUUAUGCGCGGAUUAUAAGGUGACACUUAACAAGGCUUUACUGGUUGACAAUUACCCAGUCUAACUACACAGUAAUUAAUACACACAGAAGACUAUUUAAAUACAAUCGCCUCAUUUAUGGUCUCUUCCAGUCCGGGCAUUUUUCAAAAGUUCAUGAUGAAUCUCUUUAAAAACGUGCAGGACGUAGUAAUAUUCUACGAUGAUAUUUUAAUAAAGAAUAAGUCAUUAGAAUCUCAUUUAGAAAGAGUUGAACAGGUUUAUAUUUAGAUAGAUGCAAAUAAAAUAAAACAAACGUUAAUAAAGAAACCAUUUCGGAUAGUAUAUUGAGCAGAGUAGCCAGAUAUAUAAACGAUGGCUGGCCGGCAGUGGCGUGCACAGAGAUUUUAGUCAGGGUAGGCAAAAAGAAACGACCAAGCGCGAUUCUGAUUCGCGACUCUCACAGUUGGUACAAAA